UACGUAGGUGGCAAGCGUUAUCCGGAAUUAUUGGGCGUAAAGAGCGCGCAGGUGGUUGAUUAAGUCUGAUGUGAAAGCCCACGGCUUAACCGUGGAGGGUCAUUGGAAACUGUUGUUCUUGAGUGGAGCAGAGGUAAGCGGAAUUCCGAGUGUAGCGGUGAAAUGCGUAGAUAUUCGGAGGAACACCAGUGGCGAAGGCGGCUUACUGGACUCUAACUGACGCUGAGGCUCGAAAGCGCGGGGAGCAAACAGGAUUAGAUACCCUGGUA
rnacentral:rRNA from 1 species